rnacentral:rRNA from 1 species
UCGACUACAUGAAGCUGGAAUCGCUAGUAAUCGCGGAUCAGAAUGCUGCGGUGAAUACGUUCCCGGGUCUUGUACACACCGCCCGUCACACCAUGGGAGUCAGUAACGCCCGAAGUCAGUGACCCAACCGUAAAGGGAGGGAGCUGCCGAAGGCGGGACGGAUAACUGGGGUGAAGUCGUAACAAGGUACC